rnacentral:rRNA from 1 species
ACGAACGCUGGCGGCGUGCUUAACACAUGCAAGUCGAACGGAAAGGCCCUGCUUUUGUGGGGUGCUCGAGUGGCGAACGGGUGAGUAACACGUGAGUAACCUGCCCCUGACUUUGGGAUAACCUCAGGAAACUGGGGCUAGUACCGGAUAGGAGCCUCUGCUGCAUGGUGGGGGUUGGAAAGUUUCGGCGGUUGGGGAUGGACUCGCGGCUUAUCAGCUUGUUGGUGGGGUAGUGGCUUACCAAGGCUUUGACGGGUAGCCGGCCUGGGAGGGUGACCGGCCACAUGGGGACGGGGAUACGGCCCAGACUCCUACGGGAGGCAGCAGUGGGGAAUAUUGCACAAUGGGCGGAGGCCUGAUGCAGAAACGCCGCGUGGGGGAUGACGGCCUUCGGGUUGUAAACCGCUUUCGCCUGUGACGAGGCGUGGGUGACGGUAAUGGGUAAAGAAGCACCGGCUAACUACGU